GUUUGUCGCGUCUGCUGUGAAAUCCCGAGGCUCAACCUCGGGCUUGCAGUGGGUACGGGCAGACUAGAGUGCGGUAGGGGAGAUUGGAAUUCCUGGUGUAGCGGUGGAAUGCGCAGAUAUCAGGAGGAACACCGAUGGCGAAGGCAGAUCUCUGGGCCGUAACUGACGCUGAGGAGCGAAAGCAUGGGGAGCGAACAGGAUUAGAUACCCUGGUAGUCCAUGCCGUAAACGUUGGGCGCUAGAUGUAGGGACCUUUCCACGGUUUCUGUGUCGUAGCUAACGCAUUAAGCGCCCCGCCUGGGGAGUACGGCCGCAAGGCUAAAACUCAAAGGAAUUGACGGGGGCCCGCACAAGCGGCGGAGCAUGCGGAUUAAUUCGAUGCAACGCGAAGAACCUUACCAAGGCUUGACAUACACCGGAAACGGCCAGAGAUGGUCGCCCCCUUGUGGUCGGUGUACAGGUGGUGCAUGGUUGUCGUCAGCUCGUGUCGUGAGAUGUUGGGUUAAGUCCCGCAACGAGCGCAACCCUCGUUCUAUGUUGCCAGCGCGUUAUGGCGGGGACUCAUAGGAGACUGCCGGGGUCAACUCGGAGGAAGGUGGGGAUGACGUCAAAUCAUCAUGCCCCUUAUGUCUUGGGCUUCACGCAUGCUACAAUGGCCGGUACAAAGGGCUGCGAUACCGUAAGGUGGAGCGAAUCCCAAAAAGCCGGUCUCAGUUCGGAUUGAGGUCUGCAACUCGACCUCAUGAAGUCGGAGUCGCUAGUAAUCGCAGAUCAGCAACGCUGCGGUGAAUAC
rnacentral:rRNA from 1 species